rnacentral:rRNA from 1 species
AUUGAACGCUGGCGGCAUGCCUUACACAUGCAAGUCGAACGGUAACGGGCCUUCGGGUGCCGACGAGUGGCGAACGGGUGAGUAAUACAUCGGAACGUGCCCGAUCGUGGGGGAUAACGAGGCGAAAGCUUUGCUAAUACCGCAUACGAUCUACGGAUGAAAGCAGGGGACCGCAAGGCCUUGCGCGGACGGUGCGGCCGAUGGCAGAUUAGGUAGUUGGUGGGCUAAAAGCUUACCAAGCCGACGAUCUGUAGCUGGUCUGAGAGGAUGAUCAGCCACACUGGGACUGAGACACGGCCCAGACUCCUACGGGAGGCAGCAGUGGGGAAUUUUGGACAAUGGGCGCAAGCCUGAUCCAGCCAUGCCGCGUGCAGGAUGAAGGCCUUCGGGUUGUAAACUGCUUUUGUACGGAACGAAAAGCCUUCUUUUAAUACAGGAGGGUCAUGACGGUACCGUAAGAAUAAGCACCGGCUAACUACGUG